ACAUGCAAGUCGAACGAGAAAGUGGAGCAAUCCAUGAGCAAAGGGGCGCACGGGUGAGUAACACGUGGGUAGUCUACCCUCUGGUGGGGAAUAACUCUGGGAAACCGGAGCUAAUACCGCAUAAGACCGGGAGGUGAAAGGGCGAAAGUUCGCUGGUUGAGGAGCCCGCGGCUGAUUAGCUAGUUGGUAGGGUAAGAGCCUACCAAGGCUGAGAUCGGUAGCCGGCCUGAGAGGGCACACGGCCACACUGGCACUGAAACACGGGCCAGACUCCUACGGGAGGCAGCAGUGGGGAAUCUUGCACAAUGGAGGAAACUCUGAUGCAGCGACGCCGCGUGAGUGAUGAAGCCCUUCGGGGUGUAAAGCUCUUUCGACCCGGAAGAUAAUGACGGUACGGGGAGAAGAAGCUGCGGCUAACUACGUGCCAGCAGCCGCG
rnacentral:rRNA from 1 species